GGGGGCUGCUCCUAGUACGAGAGGACCGGAGUGGACGCAUCACUGGUGUUCGGGUUGUCAUGCCAAUGGCACUGCCCGGUAGCUAAAUGCGGAAGAGAUAAGUGCUGAAAGCAUCUAAGCACGAAACUUGCCCCGAGAUGAGUUCUCCCUGAGACUAUAAGUCUCCUGAAGGAACGUUAAAGACGAUGACGUUGAUAGGCCGGGUGUGUAAGCGCAGCGAUGCGUUGAGCUAACCGGUACUAAUGAACCGUGAGGCUUAACCUUACAACGCCGAAG
rnacentral:rRNA from 1 species